rnacentral:lncRNA from 1 species
GUGGAACAGAAAUGUCACCCACACAUUUUCUAGAGGGGCUGUUUAAAGCAGAACACAACAGUGCGUAUAACAUGCAUCAGGUUUGUGCUAUUGAAUACAUAUGUAAAGCAGUGCAAUAAGUCAGGUUAUAUGGUGUAUAGAAAUUAAUCAAUUUGUGAUUUAAAUUAAUUCUUAUUUAACAUGCUAUGAGCUAUUGUGAUAUCAGGAGGAUUUCAGAAGUUGCCUGAUACCAUCUAAAAUUUGCCAAAUAUUUUUUAGGAUUUUUUUUACAUUAUACAUUCAGGUUAAGAAGAAAAAAAACAGUAAACAAAUAAAUAAACUGGCAUAAGUAAUCAUAACAGUAGUAAUAACAACAAAAAUACAUGACAGAGUAAAAAUUAAGUGGGAAAAAUAAAUAUAUAAAUAGAUUCUCAUCAGCAAAUAAUGAAAAUCUGAAAAAUACUUAGUUAGACAAACAAAGUAAUAAGUGCACUUAAUUCCCAAUAUUUAUGUAAAUGAAAACUAUUUGCUGAAAAGGGUAUACAUACUUCUAUAACAUAUAUUUUUUUUCUUUGGCAGAUAUCAGCAAAUCCCGGGAAGAACCACCGGUGCAGCCAAUGAUGAACAUAUACCCAAGAACUCUGAUGGGGGACCGGAGGAGGAGCUUAAAGGCAGCCUGGUACCAAAUCCACCCUUGAAUAUUCCAUACAAUCAGACUCUGUGUUUUGUUAUGCCUGCAGGCAUUUUAGCCCUCCCAAAGUCUCAGAGUCUGUAGAGUCAGAUAAUAAAGGGAACUUCAUGGCAAUCUUAGAAACAAUAGCUAAGCAUGAUAAAACUGUGCAAAAAAGGUUGACUUCCAUUCAUAAUGCAAAAUAUAUCAGAAUGAUGUUCUGAGUUAUUUGGCAGACAUGGUUCGAAGUAAAAUUAUAGAAGAAGUGAAAGACAGUGAGGUCUAUAGCAUAAUGGCAAAUGAAACAAAAGAUGUAAAAAAAAGGAGCAGAUAUCUCUAGUACUCAGGUACUAUUUCAGUGGAGCUGUCCAUGAGAGCUUUCUCCACUUUGAAUCGGCUGAUCGACUGGAUGCAGCAGGGCUUACUGACAAAAUCAUACACAUAUUAGAAAGUCAUGGUCUUGAAUACAAAAACAACCUAGUAGACCAAGCAUAUGACGGUGCUUCAGUUAUGAGUGGGAAGCAUUCAGGUGUCCAGGCACGCAUUAAAGAACAAGCAAAGCAUGCUUUUUACAUCCACUGCAAUGCACACUGUCUGAAUUUAGUUUUAGUGGAUACAGUCAAAGCUAUCCCUGAGGUAAUAUAAUGGAAAUGCAAUUACAGUUACUGUGACUAAUACUGAAUAUGUAAUGCAAAAUGUAAAAAUAAUUAAAAUGCAAAUAGUUACUGUGACUGAUACUGAAUAUGUAAUGCAAAUGUAAAAAUAUAUUGGAAAUGCAAUUACAGUUACUGUGACUAAUACUGAAUAUGUAAUGCAAAUGUAAAAAAUGUAAUGGAAAUGCAAAUUCAUUGUUGAAUGAUUAUAUCCAUGGUAUUUUGCCUGUUAAUGCCUGCAGUGCAGAAAAUUAUAUGACAAAAAUAAGGUCUAAAUGUAACUGGCCCCUCUUACAGUACACCUGGCCCCAGCCUGGCCCCCCCAGUUGAAAUGGUCUAGAACCGCCACUGGUUUGUAUUUCAAGUGACUGGUAUUUCAUCAUGAGACAUUUCCAUUUGGUAUAUAUUCAAAUGAAUGGGUCGUGAUUAUCUCACAGUUUCAGACCAAAGCAACAGAAGCACUGAAUUUGAAUAUACGAGAAGGGAGUGAACAUUUCUGGUGGAUGAAAAGGACAGUAGGCU